GCCACCAGCUAUAUCACCUUGCAACCCAGUGAAGCUCAGCAGGUGGGAGCCUGGUCAGUUCCUGGAUGGGAGACCUCCUGGGAAAGCUAAGGUUGCUGCUGGAA
rnacentral:rRNA from 1 species